rnacentral:tRNA from 1 species
GCGGGUACAGCACAGUGGUAGAGUGCAUGCUUAGCAUACACAAGGUGCUGGGUUCAAUCCCCAGUACCCCCU